CUGAUAAGAUCACCGCCCCUUCAGAGAAAUAUUUCCGUGGCCCGUUCGUGUUUGUCUCUUAUCGUGCGCCGAAAACCGUGGGCUGGAGGAGAGAGAGAGAGAGAAAGAGAGAGGAAAGUGAUCGCGGAGAUGUUCGAGCUGUUCGUCCUGGGGUGCACCGGCGUGGUGGUCUUCAUCCACGGCGCCAACUUCUUCUUCCGCGCCCUCUCCCAUCGCCUCACCGCCCGACCCCUCAGCUUCUUGGGAAUCGCUGGGUGGUGAAAGGGCUUCGAACGCCGAUGGAAUCGUGGGAACUCCUCAUCCAUGCGGAAGAUAAUUAUUGAUUGAUUAAGGCGAAGCAUGUAAUCUAUAUUUUAUUGCCACUGGGGUUAUGGAGUGGAUGCGGACAGCAUCUACCAAGGAUUCACCCUGCUUUGCUGGCUACGAGCUGUGGGUUGAACCAUCUGCUGUUGUCGGUGGAUAAUGACGAGUACUAUUAAUUUAUCGACCCCAUGAUGUGUGUUCUGGAAAUCUAUUGGUGCAAGAGCAAUCCUGCGAUCUCACAUAUCUA